GACGAACGCUGGCGGCGUGCUUAACACAUGCAAGUCGAACGGAAAGGCCCCUUUGGGGGUACUCGAGUGGCGAACGGGUGAGUAACACGUGAGUAACCUGCCCUUGACUUCGGGAUAACUUCAGGAAACUGGGGCUAAUACCGGAUAGGAAUCCUUGCUGCAUGGUGGGGGUUGGAAAGCUUCGGCGGUUUUGGAUGGACUCGCGGCUUAUCAGCUUGUUGGUGGGUAGUGGCUUACCAAGGCUUUGACGGGUAGCCGGCCUGAGAGGGCGACCGGCUACAUUGGGACUGAGAUACGGCCCAGACUCCUACGGGAGGCAGCAGUGGGGAAUAUUGCACAAUGGGCGGAAGCCUGAUGCAGCAACGCCGCGUGCGGGAUGACGGCCUUCGGGUUGUAAACCGCUUUCAGCAGGGGCGAAGCUUGUGGUGACGGUACCUGCAGAAGAAGCACCGGCUAACUACGUG
rnacentral:rRNA from 1 species